rnacentral:rRNA from 1 species
GAUGAACGCUGGCGGCGUGCCUAAUACAUGCAAGUCGAGCGAAUGGAUUAAGAGCUUGCUCUUAUGAAGUUAGCGGCGGACGGGUGAGUAACACGUGGGUAACCUGCCCAUAAGACUGGGAUAACUCCGGGAAACCGGGGCUAAUACCGGAUAAUAUUUUGAACUGCAUGGUUCAAAAUUGAAAGGCGGCUUCGGCUGUCACUUAUGGAUGGACCCGCGUCGCAUUAGCUAGUUGGUGAGGUAACGGCUCACCAAGGCAACGAUGCGUAGCCGACCUGAGAGGGUGAUCGGACACACUGGGACUGAGACACGGCCCAGACUCCUACGGGAGGCUGCAGUAGGGAAUCUUCCGCAAUGGACGAAAGUCUGACGGAGCAACGCCGCGUGAGUGAUGAAGGCUUUCGGGUCGUAAAACUCUGUUGUUAGGGAAGAACAAGUGCUAGUUGAAUAAGCUGGCACCUUGACGGUACCUAACCAGAAAGCCACGGCUAACUACGUGCCAGCAGCCGCAGUAA